UUUCUUACAAACGAUGAAAGAAGCUGCUUGUAUUGUCGUAUUUUAACGUUUUUUAUCAGGAUUUCUACUCGUUUAUUAUGUCGCAGAGCGACGAUUCGUUAAGUUACUCUAGCUUAGAGAGUGACAGCUUAACUGAGAGCGAUUUAGAGGAAAAUCCACACGUAAAGAGCUGUUUUGAACCGUACCAAGGAGAACCAUUGGCGAGCACAGACGAUAGUCAGUCUUCUGAUGAAGAACAGGACGAAGAUUUUAUUUUACCCUCGGUUUUGGAGAAGCGUUUCGAAAAGGUUAUUCCUUUAGCUAAUUGGUAAGUUCUCAAAAUAUUACAAAUCCACCCUGUUAUGAUUUUAAUGCGGAUUUUACCUGACCUUUGCCGUAUUAUUUGAUACUGUUGUAGGUGUUCGUGUGGCAACUGUGCUGAUCAAGAGCUGGUUAGUGCUCGUGAGUAUCGUUGCUGCAAAGAGAUCGUAGAAGUAAGUGGGAAAUUUACUUGGAUUGGCAAGAAUGUUUAGUGUAUCCUUGAUCAUCCAGACUUUAAUGCCAUGACGAACGAGACGGUUCUACGCGAAGUUGGACCUCUUUUAAGGAACAAGAAUGGUAGCUGCUACCGAAUAAAAAAUGGCGCAGAUAAAAAGUAUGUAAAUAUGCUUAAUUCAAAACAAUUUUGUCCAGUACCAACAGAAAAGCAAGCAUCCUUUCUGCUUUUUUCUAAAGAUUACCGUGUAUUUGUUAUAGAUUCCUGAGAGCUGUAUCAUAUCGCUGGCUGGCAAGAUGGUUAUUUGGAAUAAUGGGCUGGGACAACACAAGACCCUUGUCAGCAUGCAUCUACCAUCGUAUAAGGACUACAUUCCAUACAGGCGAUGCUAAGGGUUAUGUAUCUGGAGAAGAACGAGCAGAGAAAGACAGCUGAAGUGACUAUGACAAUUUUUUUAUAGCUUUGAUAAGUUUAAUUUUAUAAUCAGAAUAUUAAUAAUUUACUUUAUGUACCAGUCCAUUCAAAUAUAAAUAAAUUCUAUAAACUAUUAUGAAUGGCAAUUUGCCUGUUUCCUGAGUAAACAGUUUUGCUGCACACUACCAUAACAUAGCUGCUUCAUACAGUUUUAAAUUUUUAGUCAGAUAUACCUAUCCAGUGUUGAACCUGGGUUAGAUUGAGCACUUUUCCAGAGUAGUGUGCCAACUAUACCGGUAAACCCAUGUUAUGCAUGUUUACAUAUUAUAAACUACCCCAACUAAUUAAAGUAAACCAGAUUGACUCGGGUGACGGAGGUGAAAUCACCCGAAAAUACAAUAAGAUAUUCAACGUUUCGAGCAAAGGCCAUUCACCUGGAAGUUAUAAGGGUGGGUCGGGAAAACAGCUAGUUUUACACAAAUCAACAACUAAAUCAUUAUUACACACACGGGCACAGCAUGUUUGAUAUAUCCAAACCAGGUUGAAGUUGUUAAACCUGGGUUGGUUUUGUACUGUAAAUCAUGCUUUACAUUCCAUUCAAAUUCACAGCUAUGGGUGGCAGGACAUACUGUAAUUCUGUUCAUAUUUUAUUGGAUUAUUCUAGAAACAUCCACACCUCGCCAUUCCCACACA